rnacentral:misc_RNA from 1 species
GUCACGCCCGAAGUCAUUACCCCAACCGCAAGGAGGGGGAUGCCUAAGGUAGGACUGAUGACUGGGGUGAAGUCGUAACAAGGUAGCCGUACCGGAAGGUGUGGCUGGAUCACCUCCUUUUAGGGAGACCCAAAUCAAGUCAAAAGGCAAAAGUCAAAAGUCAAAAAUCAAGACCUAGACAAAAAACCUAGACUUCGGUUUAUCCCAAGGUCGGUCGCAGACUUGAAGUAAAGCUUUCAAACUAUGGUUUGGUUCGAUAAGGGCUAUUAGCUCAGGUGGUUAGAGCGCACCCCUGAUAAGGGUGAGGUCCCUGGUUCGAGUCCAGGAUGGCCCACCUGAAGGAAGUCAAAAAUCAAAAGUCAAAAGUCAAAAUUAAAUAUUUUUGAAGCAUGACUAGAAAUUUUGAGUUCUUUUUGGGGGUUUAACUCAGUUGGUAGAGCGCCUGCUUUGCAAGCAGGAUGUCAGCGGUUCGAGUCCGCUAACCUCCACAUUUGGAAAAAGAACAGCAACUGAAACUAUUGAUAAUAGUUUUUGACUGCUGGGUUAAAUUCCAGCCAGAACCUUGAAAACUGCAUAAGAGAAAGAGAAAAAGCAGGCAGACACAGACAUUGAGAUGGAUGUGAAAGCAAACAAGCAGAAAAUGUGGUCAAGCUAAUAAGGGCUAAUGGUGGAUACCUAGGCACACAGAGG